AUUGAACGCUGGCGGCAGGCCUCACACAUGCAAGUCGAGCGGAUGAAGGAAAAUUAAUCAAGGAUUAAGAGAAAGAAGGGAAAGUACUACAUAAGACACAGACUGAACGUGGGGGAUAACGUCCGGAAACGGGCGCUAAUACCGCAUACGUCCUGAGGGAGAAAGUGGGGGAUCUUCGGACCUCACGCUAUCAGAUGAGCCUAGGUCGGAUUAGCUAGUUGGUGGGGUAAAGGCCUACCAAGGCGACGAUCCGUAACUGGUCUGAGAGGAUGAUCAGUCACACUGGAACUGAGACACGGUCCAGACUCCUACGGGAGGCAGCAGUGGGGAAUAUUGGACAAUGGGCGAAAGCCUGAUCCAGCCAUGCCGCGUGUGUGAAGAAGGUCUUCGGAUUGUAAAGCACUUUAAGUUGGGAGGAAGGGCAGUAAGUUAAUACCUUGCUGUUUUGACGUUACCAACAGAAUAAGCACCGGCUAACUUCGUG
rnacentral:rRNA from 1 species